UUCCUCACCUGAGACCCCGUCCCACACAGCCCUGGCUGGGGCAAACAGCCCCCUCCCCACUUCCUAUCUAAUUUGCAGGGAGAUCGACGACGUGAUCAGCGCAGACCUGCAGUCUCUCCAGGUGGGGACUGUUCCUGGAGGGGCGGGAUGGGGUGGGGGUCUUGGCCAGCGCUAAACUUUCGCCAUGCGGCAGGGCCCCUACCUGCCCCUGGAGCUGGGGUUGGAGCAGCUGUUUCAGGAGCUGGCUGGAGAGGAGGAAGAACUCAAUGCCUCUCAGCUCCAGGCCUUACUAAGCAUUGCCCUGGAGCCUGCCAGGGCCCACACCUCCACCCCCAGAGAGAUCGGGCUCAGGACCUGUGAGCAGCUGCUGCAGUGUUUCGGGGCCAUAUUCGACAAGUUCGAUGAGGACACCUCUGGAACCAUGAACUCCUACGAGCUGAGGCUGGCGCUGAAUGCAGCAGGCUUCCACCUGAACAACCAGCUGACCCAGGCCCUCACCAGCCGCUACCGGGAUAGC
rnacentral:sRNA from 1 species